GUGCUCGCUUCAGCAACACAUAUACUAAAAUUAGAAUGAUACACAGAAGAUUAGCAUGCCCCCUGCACAAGGAAUGUGGAAUUCACAUUUGUGAAAUGCUGCUGAUAAUU